rnacentral:misc_RNA from 1 species
AAGUAAUAUAAAUAGAAUAAACGUAUAAAGAGAAACUUUGGACAAAAUGGUGCAUUCUUUUCUUUACAACGAUUCUAGCGAAGACGUUGGUUUAAAAUUCAAGGAUUAUAUUUAUGUGGAUGGUACUGAAGAUAUGGACAGAAUAUAUUACCCAGGAAAAAUCGAAAAUCUACGCAAACCUUGGAUACAAGAACCACAUUUUAUUCUUACGGUCAUUGUGUACAGCAUCUGUUUUAUAGUUGGUCUCAUUGGAAACGGUUUGGUAGUUUUUGCUAUGUGCGCUGAUAAGAAGAAUCGAAGUGUGACUACUUCGUUUCUGGUUAGUCUUGCUUUGGCAGAUUUACUCUUCUUGAUGGUCUGUGUGCCGUACGAAGUGACCAAAAGUUCAAUAGCGCAUUGGUCCACUGGAAUUUUUUUGUGUAAAUUCACUGGAUUCAUCGAAAUGUUAACAGCCGUUGGAUCGAUUUUCAACCUUACAGCGGUCAGCAUCGAAAGAUACAUCGUCAUUGUCCAUCCUAUGAGGUCUCGUUUGUUAUGUACCCUGGGUAAUACCAGGAAGAUACUAUGCGUCUUAUGGAUAAUUUCCAUAUUCAUUUCUUGUCCGGCCUUGUACAUGAUGGGCACAGAAUCUCAGAAAUUCCACAACAAUGGAACUGAAGUAAUGUUGAUAUACUGCGUAGACGCGACACUCCCGAGAUUUCAACAAUUGGCCUACUGUAUUUACCAAUUCGUUACAAUGUUUGUAGCUCCUACAUUUAUUUUGGCGAUCUGCUAUUCAAAGGUUAUAUACGUGUUGUGGGUCAGCACAAAGCAACUGGCUCAGAUGACUUUCACAGAAAGACGCCAAGACGAAUUUAAUGAAGAAAGCAAGCAGAAGCAAUCUUUCAGAGGCAUGACCAGUAACCGUAAUUACCGUACUUUGGCAUCACCAACCAGUUCCGGUAUUAAUGAGCGUGCAAGCAGUACUGAAUGCUGCAACAGCGCUGCUAACAAAACUGGUUGUGGAAGCGGUAACUGCGUUAGUGGCGGUGCAUGUAAAAAAGACUCUACUCAAACGCAGACUCCUGAUCAUAAGAAGUCACCCCGCCCAUGCCCUGUACUGAAACGCAUGCCCAAAGAGCAAAGUGCUGAAGUGUUACAUAAACGUAGGCAGGUUAUCAAAAUGCUCCUUGCAAUUAUUUUGAUCUUUUUGCUAUGUUGGGGCCCAAAGUUGCUAUUCCGACUAAUGAGACGCGUUGAUACUGCUCCAUAUUUCACAAGUCAAAGUUUAUUCAUCAAGAUAAUCUUCGACUUUUCGCCGUACAUUCAGUCAUGUAUUAACCCAGUGGUGUAUUUCUUCAUGUCACGAAACUUCCGUAAGAGCAUGCGCUAUGUGUGCCAGAAAUACUGCCAUUGCUUUGAGGGCAGUGGCGCGAAAGAUGUAUUCGAACUUGAGACGAAAACCAUGGACGGUAACAGCAUUACAACCAGAGAUCCGAAGAUGUAACAUGGACAUUUCCUCAGCAGAGCAAACAAGGCUUUCCUGUCAGAUGGAACAGCAGUACAGACAAGCUAUCACUCUUGAGAAUCCCGGUUGAUUAUCUAAUUCUGUGUGUGACUGUAUAAGUUGCUUCGGUUCUUAUUGGCAGUUGUGUAGAUCAUGUUGUAGUCAGCAUUUUAUAACAGCAUCAUAUAAAGCAGAUGGACCCUUGGCAAAGCGGAAUAACCCAAGUAUCCUCUAUGGAGGCAAAGUCAAGUAAAUACAUAAAAAGUUUGACUAACUUAUCGGUAGUCUUCGGCGAUGCAGCUUCACUUCCAAAAUACCCAGCUUUGCUGAUUGUUUAACGAAAUUCCAUACUUCUUCUCUUUACUCUCUCCUCAUCAUUCACAACACUUAAUCUCAUUCAUUAUUCACUCUGCUUCUAAAGAUAAUAUCAAGUUGUGCAGUGAUAUUAUGUACUCUGUCGAGGACUUGGGUGGAUUUUUGUGAGAAAGCGAGAGAAAGCGAGAGAAAGUAAGAGAGAGAGAUGAUCCAUUUAGGCUGUGGUGUGUUAUCAUUUCAAUCGAUCUCAGUUGCUCCCAACUGUUGACUAAAGUUAAUUGUAAAACUGUUAGUGUAGGACAUAUCAAUGGCAAGAAACUUGGAAAUUCAUUCCGUGGCAGUUGUUCUCUAGCAACUUGAUCGAUCACUGAUAACUUCAGGUCAAUGUCAAUAGGUUUUCUGUCGACUCAUGAGGCAAUGAUGUUUUUUAUUUUAUUUUAGUUCCUUCUUAAUGUAAAUAUGAAGUUCCCCUACAAUCUUGCAUCUAGCUGUAUAUCAAGCUUUUUGUAAUAGCCAGCUAUUUUAUAUGUCAUAGGCGGCUUCUGCGUGCGAUGGCGACAGUCCUACAAGAGAUAUUGUAAUCUUGUUUUUGCUUUGGUAGUGAUUACAUUUCAG